rnacentral:rRNA from 1 species
CCUACGGGAGACAGCAGUGAGGAAUAUUGGUCAAUGGGCGCGAGCCUGAACCAGCCAAGUAGCGUGAAGGAUGACUGCCCUACGUGUUGUAAACUUCUUUUAUAAAGGAAUAAAGUGAGGCACGUGUGCCUUUUUGUAUGUACUUUAUGAAUAAGGAUCGGCUAACUCCGUGCCAGCAGCCGCGGUAAUACGGAGGAUCCGAGCGUUAUCCGGAUUUAUUGGGUUUAAAGGGAGCGUAGAUGGGUUGUUAAGUCAGUUGUGAAAGUUUGCGGCUCAACCGUAAAAUUGCAAUUGAAACUGGCAGGCUUGAGUAGAGUUGAGGUAGGCGGAAUGCGUGGUGUAGCGGUGAAAUGCUUAGAUAUCACGAAGAACUCCGAUUGCGAAGGCAGCGUACUAAACUGACACUGACAUUGAUGCUCGAAAGUGUGGGUAUCAAACAGGAGUAGAUACCCGAGUAGUC